rnacentral:rRNA from 1 species
UUGUUCAGAAAUUCAGUUGGCCUUCUGCCUAGUGUACUUUUCUGUGGGACGGGCCAGCAUCAGUUUUGGCUGCCAGAAAAAGGUCGGAGGAAGGUGGCACCCUCCGGGUGUGUUAUAGCCUCUGAUCGUAUGUGGCAGCCGGGAUUGAGGACCGCAGCACGCCUUUAUGGCCGGGGUUCGCCCACGUAACGUGCUUAGGAUGCUGGCGUAAUGGCUUUAAACGACCCGUCUUGAAACACGGACCAAGGAGUCUAACAUGCCUGCGAGUAUUUGGGUGGCAAACCCAUAUGCGGAAUGAAAGUGAACAGUUGGGACAUGGAAAGGCACCGACGCCCGGACCAGACCUAUUGUGACGGAUCCGAGGUAGA